UCCCCCCCAGGUACUUGCUCUCAACUGCUUAUACACACCCAUGACAGUCCAUGCUCCCUACAAGCUGUGAUACCUCCUCCACGGCCUGCCCGGCCACACAGCAGGCACACGCUUCUCACACCAACCAUCUACUAUGGCCUGCUUUGUCUCUCAGGACACCAAGGAUACAAGCUGUGUGGUUCCAGAUACCCAGCCUCUGGCAGCAAUGACUUGUCUCUGGGUUUUUGUGGCAUUAGUCUGAGGUUUUUGUGGCAUUAGUCUGGGUUUUUGUGGCAUUAGCCUGAGCAUUAGGUUUUUGUGGCAUUAGUCUGGGUUUUUGUGGCAUUAGCCUGAGCAUGGAGGUGGUGUUGUAGGGAAGAGGUGACAAGUAUUCUGGGAAGCCUGAAAGCUUAACUGUGUGGUGCCCGGACUCUCAUCUAGCACCUACAACCCCAAUGUGCUCCAUGUGGACCAUAUGAACCUCGAAGAAAGAGACUUAACAAAAGUUCCCCUACAUCUGAAGCUGCUGAGAUCCCUCCUGCACUCUCCCACUGGCAGUGUGUACUCUGCGGUAAGUAAUCUCUAUUAGAAGAACAGGAGCGAGGAGAGUCUAACACACUCACAUAGCUUCUUGUAAAGUAAUCUUUUUUCAAUCAAGUAGCACUUGCUCCUGAGGAAGCUGGACUAUAUAAACCAGCGAAACGCGUUGAGCUAUUUUGCCUGCCUUGACAUCGUCUACCACCAUUGGCAUUCUUCUGACACUCUGGCAUACCAUCAUUGGACAUUCCUACUGCAGUAUCCACCCAUUCUGGACCUUUUCCCUUAUGAUAAGGAGGAAAUUUGACCCAGCCAUUCAUUAGGUGGACAAUUUCUGCAUUCAGGAUCUCUGGUAAAUACCUCAUACCUGCAAAUUAUCGGCUUUAUGCAAAUUAACCGAUUAGUGAUGGACAUCUCCAGUGACAUUAGUACUUUCUGAGUGUCAUUAGCCGUUCAUGUGGACAUCCAAAUCAUCAACUCAGGCAUAUUGUGGCAAUUUUAAUUACUAUUUUUUAAUUUUAUUCUUUGAUUCUUAUGUGUUUUUAUAUGUGGAAUAAAUGUUUUUUUUUUAUUCA